rnacentral:lncRNA from 1 species
GAGCAAAACUUCAUUGGUUCUGCUGCCGUCAUCCAGCAUCUUCUUAACGAUUCCCUUCUUUCCUUUCUUCCAGUGCCAUGGAGAAGAGAACAGAGCUUGCACAGGAAAGGAGAAAACUAUAUUUGAAGCAUUUACUGUCAUAAAGUAGUUCUGCAGAAGGAUUGGUUGCUCCGAGGGUCCCUAUGUCUACUAAACCCUCCUUAUUUUUACAUGGCCAUUCCACAUCUCUCCAGAUUUCAAAUCAGCUGUCCUAUGGAUUAAGUUCUCUGAUGAGUUCAUAAAAAGUCAUUAAUUUUCUGUCUGUCCAGCUUUCUUCUUGCUGCAAAUAUGAGAGCUACAGUUUUGAGCUGCAGCUACAAGUGACAAGAUUUUAAGUAAUUAAGUUACUAAAGCAAUGCAGAUGCCUCUCUAUUAUUCAAUGGCAACUCCAGCUCUUGAACUCUGAAAAUUCCACUGAAAGUGGUGAAGAAAGAUUCUUAUUUUAAAUUAUAUCUUCCCACUCUUUUGAGCACAGUAUGUGGUUUUCAGGGGGAAUUUACUGAAAAGAGAACCCUUCACUGUUUUAUGGAUGGAUUUUGGAGGAAUCUACAGUCAAUGCAUAUUUCUAAAUUCCUUCACAACUGCUGUGAUUCUCUAAAUCUUGGGUCACUUUAAUACUGAAGCAUUUUAUUAUAAAUGAAGCUGUCCUAUGCAAUAUAGACUCUCCCAGAGAGACACUAACUCCAAAUUCAUCACUGAAAUCAGCCCAAGAGAAUAUCCUUCUUAUCUAGGCAUUUUGUGAGUAUACAACUUAAUAUUUCAUUGUGAUAAACAGUCAAGGAUUCUGAACAAAGAUGAAUAUAAUUUAUUCAAAGUCACCUUCAUACAAAUGGCAAUUUUGGAUGAAAGUAGAAACGCCUAUUUCUUAAUCAUAGUUUCUUCAUUUUUUCUGGUAGUCCUAGAAGUUCUAACGCUAGAUGCUGGUGGUAAAAAGUAAUAUUGGGUGAUAAUAAAUAUAUUAUGAAAUAUCCUUUCUUUUUGAAGUUUUUUUGAGACUUUUCACAAUUGUGACCACUACAAAACUACCCCUAAAAUUAUUUCAAUCUACAUUAUCUAUACAUGUAGGUUGAUACAGCAAUAUUUCCUGGCACCCAUCUAAGUCAUGACAGUUGUUAUUUCAGAGACUUUAACUUAGUUAUUGAAGCACAUCUUAAUAUAGUUGAGAAGUCAUUACUGGAGUUGAUAGUGCUUUCAAUCUUUUACUAAAACUUAUAUAUUGAGAAUCAGCAUUGGACAGCACACAGUCCUUCAAGGGUUAGAAAACAUUUGACACGAAACUUUAAAAAAAAUUCAGUUUAAAAUCUAUGUGAUUAAAAUAUGUGACUCAAGCAUCUAAAAGAAAGUUGUUUACAUUUCCAGGCUAAAACCUAUGUAAUUAUUUAUACUACCAGUAUGAUGAAAAUUAUUCACCAACCAUUUUAUGGAUCAAUAAUUAAUUAAUAAACACCUAUAAUCUGUGUACCUGGGAAUCUAGACUUAGAGAGGUAGUAAGGGAUAGAAUCAAUAUUUAGGACACACUGAUCCUAUUUGAUGUUUUUUAUGCUCUUGUAAUUGGUUUAUCUUUUCUAUUUGCUGCUUCUUGAUAGGUGGGUUUUCUUAUUAAUUUUGGGUUUGGUUAUGUGACUUGUUUUGCUCUUUAGAAUAUGAAUAAAAUCGAAAGCAUUAAGUGAGCUGAGGUUUUAGGAGGCUUUAUGGACGUCCAGUUGCCCUCUUAGUUCUGUCCCUGAACUAAGUACUGGGUUCCAAAAUAACACAGAGUCCCAGCUUAGUGAAGAGAGCAAGAAAUAAAUAUUUGUCUUUGAAAGCCAUUGAAAUGUUGAAAUUGUCUGAUGCGCUAUAACCUGGGAAAAGUUUUAUGUGUAUACACUUAAGCUUCACAGCCAUUAUAUGAACUGCAUGUAAUAUUUUCAUU